GUCUAAACCAUAAGACAACCACAACAACGUUUUGCUGAAGUAUCACUUACACACGUCCUCUUGUCUCAGAUUAUCAGGGUUCAUGGGUCAACACGAUUACAAAAUCAAUUGGUGUGUGCAGGGCCACAUAUUUAGAGUAUGCCUAAUGCAAGGUAUGGACAAUCAUUAAGUAGUGUGUGUUUUAAAUAAUCAUAAAAAAACUUUAAGAAUCCA